GCAGUCGAACGGCAGCACGGGAGCAAUCCUGGUGGCGAGUGGCGAACGGGUGAGUAAUAUAUCGGAACAUGCCCAGUCGUGGGGGAUAACGCAGCGAAAGCUGUGCUAAUACCGCAUACGAUCUAUGGAUGAAAGCGGGGGAUCGCAAGACCUCGCGCGAUUGGAGCGGCCGAUAUCAGAUUAGCUAGUUGGUGGGGUAAAGGCCCACCAAGGCGACGAUCUGUAGCUGGUCUGAGAGGACGACCAGCGACACUGGAACUGAGACACGGUCCAGACUCCUACGGGAGGCAGCAGUGGGGAAUUUUGGACAAUGGGCGCAAGCCUGAUCCAGCAAUGCCGCGUGCAGGAUGAAGGCCUUCGGGUUGUAAACUGCUUUUGUACGGAACGAAACGGUCGUCUCUAAUAAAGGUGGCUAAUGACGGUACCGUAAGAAUAAGCACCGGCUAACUACGUGCCAGCAGCCGCGGUAAUACGUAGGGUGCGAGCGUUAAUCGGAAUUACUGGGCGUAAAGCGUGCGCAGGCGGUUAUAUAAGACAGAUGUGAAAUCCCCGGGCUCAACCUGGGACCUGCAUUUGUGACUGUAUAGCUAGAGUACGG
rnacentral:rRNA from 1 species